rnacentral:rRNA from 1 species
AUUGAACGCUGGCGGCAGGCUUAACACAUGCAAGUCGAACGAGUGGCGGACGGGUGAGUAAUGCUUGGGAAUCUAGCUUAUGGCGGGGGAUAACUACGGGAAACUGUAGCUAAUACCGCGUACCAUAGGAUGAGCCCAAGUGGGAUUAGGUAGUUGGUGAGGUAAAGGCUCACCAAGCCGACGAUCUCUAGCUGGUCUGAGAGGAUGACCAGCCAAACUGGGAAUGAGAAACGGCCCAGAAUCCUACGGGAGGCAGGAGUGGGGAAUAUUGCGCAAUGGGGGCAACCCUGACGCAGCCAUGCCGCGGUGAGGAAGAAGGCCUUAGGGGUGUAAAGGACUUUCAGCGGGGAGGCGUUACCCGCAGAAGAAGCAACGGCUAACUCCGUGCCAGCAGCCGCGGUAAUAC